rnacentral:tRNA from 1 species
GAGGUUGUGGCUCAGUGGUUAGAGGGCUCACCUAGCACAGCGAGGCCCUGGGUUCAAUUCUCAGCACCACA